GACUCGAUAGCUCAAUGGGUGGAGCGGCGGUCUAGACACCCGAAGAUGCGGGUUCAAAUCCCGCUCGAGCCA
rnacentral:tRNA from 1 species